GUCAGCCGCCGCGGUAACACCGGCGGCCCGAGUGGUGAUCGUGAUUAUUGGGUCUAAAGGGUCCGUAGCCGGUUUGGUCAGUCCUCCGGGAAAUCUGAUAGCUCAACUAUUAGGCUUUCGGGGGAUACUGCCAGACUUGGAACCGGGAGAGGUAAGAGGUACUACAGGGGUAGGAGUGAAAUCUUGUAAUCCCUGUGGGACCACCUGUGGCGAAGGCGUCUUACCAGAACGGGUUCGACGGUGAGGGACGAAAGCUGGGGGCACGAACCGGAUUAGAUACCCGGGUAGUCCCAGCCGUAAACGAUGCUCGCUAGGUGUCAGGCAUGGCGCGACCGUGUCUGGUGCCGCAGGGAAGCCGUGAAGCGAGCCACCUGGGAAGUACGGCCGCAAGGCUGAAACUUAAAGGAAUUGGCGGGGGAGCACAACAACGGGUGGAAGCCUGCGGUUUAAUUGGACUCAACGCCGGACAGCUCACCGGGGGCGACAGCAAUAUGUAGGCCAAGCUGAAGACUUUGCCUGAAUCGCUGAGAAGUGGUGCAUGG
rnacentral:rRNA from 1 species